rnacentral:rRNA from 1 species
GAUUAGAUACCCUAUUAUUUUAAAUGUAAAUUAUUAUACUAAAGUAGUAAUAGUUAAGUUCUUUAAAUUUAAAGAUUUUGGCGGUAUUUUAGUCUAUUCAGAGGAACCUGUUCUAUAAUUGAUAAUCCACGAUUAAUUAAACUUGAUUUAAUAAUUUGUAUAUCCGCGUUUAUAAAUGAUUUUAAAAGAAUUUAAAUUUUUAAGAUUUUUUAUUAAAAAAUAUAUCAGAUCAAGGUGCAGUUUAUAAUUAAGGAGAAAUGGGUUACAAUAAAUUUAUUUAUACGGAUUAAUAUAUAAAAUUAUAUUAUGAAGGAGGAUUUGAUAGUAAUAAAGUUUAAUUAAAUUUUAUGAUUUUAGCUCUAAAAUAUGUACACAUCGCCCGU